UGGUGGAGUGAUUUGUCUGGUUAAUUCCGUUAACGAACGAGACCUUAGCCUACUAACUAGUCGAACCAAUUCGCAUUGGUUACGACUUCUUAGAGGGACUUUGUGCAAACACAAGGAAGUUUGAGGCAAUAACA
rnacentral:rRNA from 1 species